UGCAAGUCGAGCGGAAACGAGUUAUCUGAACCUUCGGGGGACGAUAACGGCGUCGAGCGGCGGACGGGUGAGUAAUGCCUAGGAAAUUGCCCUGAUGUGGGGGAUAACCAUUGGAAACGAUGGCUAAUACCGCAUGAUGCCUACGGGCCAAAGAGGGGGACCUUCGGGCCUCUCGCGUCAGGAUAUGCCUAGGUGGGAUUAGCUAGUUGGUGAGGUAAGGGCUCACCAAGGCGACGAUCCCUAGCUGGUCUGAGAGGAUGAUCAGCCACACUGGAACUGAGACACGGUCCAGACUCCUACGGGAGGCAGCAGUGGGGAAUAUUGCACAAUGGGCGCAAGCCUGAUGCAGCCAUGCCGCGUGUGUGAAGAAGGCCUUCGGGUUGUAAAGCACUUUCAGUCGUGAGGAAGGUAGUGUAGUUAAUAGCUGCAUUAUUUGACGUUAGCGACAGAAGAAGCACCGGCUAACUCCGUGCCAGCAGCCGCGGUAAUACGGAGGGUGCGAGCGUUAAUCGGAAUUACUGGGCGUAAAGCGCAUGCAGGUGGUUUGUUAAGUCAGAUGUGAAAGCCCGGGGCUCAACCUCGGAAUUGCAUUUGAAACUGGCAGACUAGAGUACUGUAGAGGGGGGUAGAAUUUCAGGUGUAGCGGUGAAAUGCGUAGAGAUCUGAAGGAAUACCGGUGGCGAAGGCGGCCCCCUGGACAGAUACUGACACUCAGAUGCGAAAGCGUGGGGAGCAAACAGGAUUAGAUACCCUGGUAGUCCACGCCGUAAACGAUGUCUACUUGGAGGUUGUGGCCUUGAGCCGUGGCUUUCGGAGCUAACGCGUUAAGUAGACCGCCUGGGGAGUACGGUCGCAAGAUUAAAACUCAAAUGAAUUGACGGGGGCCCGCACAAGCGGUGGAGCAUGUGGUUUAAUUCGAUGCAACGCGAAGAACCUUACCUACUCUUGACAUCCAGAGAACUUUCCAGAGAUGGAUUGGUGCCUUCGGGAACUCUGAGACAGGUGCUGCAUGGCUGUCGUCAGCUCGUGUUGUGAAAUGUUGGGUUAAGUCCCGCAACGAGCGCAACCCUUAUCCUUGUUUGCCAGCGAGUAAUGUCGGGAACUCCAGGGAGACUGCCGGUGAUAAACCGGAGGAAGGUGGGGACGACGUCAAGUCAUCAUGGCCCUUACGAGUAGGGCUACACACGUGCUACAAUGGCGCAUACAGAGGGCAGCCAACUUGCGAAAGUGAGCGAAUCCCAAAAAGUGCGUCGUAGUCCGGAUUGGAGUCUGCAACUCGACUCCAUGAAGUCGGAAUCGCUAGUAAUCGUGGAUCAGAAUGCCACGGUGAAUACGUUCCCGGGCCUUGUACACACCGCCCGUCACACCAUGGGAGUGGGCUGCAAAAGAAGUAGGUAGUUUAACCUU
rnacentral:rRNA from 1 species